rnacentral:rRNA from 1 species
GAUACCCUGGUAGUCCACGCUGUAAACGAUGUCGACUUGGAGGUUGUGCCCUUGAGGCGUGGCUUCCGGAGCUAACGCGUUAAGUCGACCGCCUGGGGAGUACGGCCGCAAGGUUAAAACUCAAAUGAAUUGACGGGGGCCCGCACAAGCGGUGGAGCAUGUGGUUUAAUUCGAUGCAACGCGAAGAACCUUACCUACUCUUGACAUCCACGGAAUUCGCCAGAGAUGGCUUAGUGCCUUCGGGAACCGUGAGACAGGUGCUGCAUGGCUGUCGUCAGCUCGUGUUGUGAAAUGUUGGGUUAAGUCCCGCAACGAGCGCAACCCUUAUCCUUUGUUGCCAGCACGUAAUGGUGGGAACUCAAAGGAGACUGCCGGUGAUAAACCGGAGGAAGGUGGGGAUGACGUCAAGUCAUCAUGGCCCUUACGAGUAGGGCUACACACGUGCUACAAUGGCAUAUACAAAGAGAAGCGAACUCGCGAGAGCAAGCGGACCUCAUAAAGUAUGUCGUAGUCCGGAUUGGAGUCUGCAACUCGACUCCAUGAAGUCGGAAUCGCUAGUAAUCGUAGAUCAGAAUGCUACGGUGAAUACGUUCCCGGGCCUUGUACACACCGCCCGUCACACCAUGGGAGUGGGUUGCAAAAGAAGUAGGUAGCUUAACCUUC